rnacentral:rRNA from 1 species
AGCAGCCGCGGUAAUUCCAGCUCCAAUAGCGUAUAUUAAAGUUGUUGCAGUUAAAAAGCUCGUAGUUGAAUUUCGGGGUUAGUACGCUGGUCAUACCUCUGGUAUGUACUGGUGUUACUGAUACCUACCUUCUGACGAAUCGUCAUGUCAUUAAUUUGGUGUGGCGGGGAAUCAGGACUGUUACUUUGAAAAAAUUAGAGUGUUUAAAGCAGGCUCGCGCUUGAAUACAUUAACAUGGAAUAAUGAAAUAGGACGUUUGAUCCUAUUUUGUUGGUUUCUAGGAUUGACGUAAUGAUUAAUAGGGAUAGUUGGGGGCAUUAGUAUUCAAUCGUCAGAGGUGAAAUUCUUGGAUUUAUUGAAGACUAACUACUGCGAAAGCAUUUGCCAAGGAUGUUUUCAUUAAUCAAGAACGAAAGUUAGGGGAUCGAAGGCGAUCAGAUACCGUCGUAGUCUUAACCAUAAACUAUGCCGACUAGGGAUCGGAUGAUGUUAUUUUUAAUGACUCAUUCGGCGCCUUACG